AAAGUCGGCUGAUAAUGAAGCUCGGAGAGUAUUUGGAGCAGUACAAUAUAUGAAUGGGGGAGCUCGUUAUUGGAGAAAUCCUGAUGGUAUUAUGGAAGCACAGACAGCCGGGAGAGUUCAGAGAGACACCGCAUAAGGUCGGAAGCCAGAAGAGCCCUGGGAGGGUCAGCCUUUCACGAACUUCGGCUGGAGGUAUUUUAUACCCAACAAAGGGGUUCAUCAUAAUCUUAACAAACAUAAGAUGCAGCAUAUAAUGAAACAUAAAUACCUUUUAUUUAUAUAAAAUAUUAUUACAUAAGUGAGGA
rnacentral:lncRNA from 1 species